UGAGUAAGUCAGACAGCUGCGUGUACUUGUACACGAGGAAAGUCCGAGCUCCGCAGGGCGAGGGUGCUGGUUAAUACCCAGUGGAGGCAACUCUAAGGAAAGUGCAACAGAGAGAUACCGCCAAUCAGAGGCCGGAUGCGGCAUCUGGUUUGGUAAGGGUGAAAAGGCGAGGUAAGAGCU
rnacentral:RNase_P_RNA from 1 species